rnacentral:rRNA from 1 species
UACGGAGGGUGCAAGCGUUGUCCGGAUUUAUUGGGUUUAAAGGGUGCGUAGGUGGCUUGUUAAGUCCGGGGUGAAAGCCCACAGCUCAACUGUGGAACUGCCCUGGAUACUGGCGAGCUUGAGUCCAGACGAGGUUGGCGGAAUGGAUGCUGUAGCGGUGAAAUGCAUAGAUAGCAUCCAGAACCCCGAUUGCGUAGGCAGCUGACUAGGCUGGUACUGACACUGAGGCACGAAAGCGUGGGGAGCGAACAGGAUUAGAAACCCCUGUAGU